GCUGACCGCCGGGCAGUCACAGUCAACAAAGAGGGAGAGAAUUAGGGGCAGGGAACGUUCCCACUGAAGUCACAGAGGUCAUCUGGCUGCGGGGACAGGCAGUGGAGAGGACGUUCUUUCUGCUCCCAUUUCUCCCCACCUCCCCGGGGACCAGGCGUGGUACCAGCUGCUGCUCCCGCCACAACUGCUUGCAUUCCUGUGGCCUUUGACUGUUUUCAAUGCUUUUCCGUGCCUUCCCACACACGGUCCCCAACACUUAUAUGAGUAAGAUGCACAGGAAGAGACACUGCCUUUGUCUGAUGAACACAUGAAUGACGGCCCGAUGCAUCUUCGCUCCGGACCCACUCUGCCUGGAGAAGGGUAGAGGGGGUCGGAGGCCCCGCAGCGAGACUGGGGCAUUGACUGAGGAGGAUGUGAUACCUGGAGCUUUGGCAGCCACCUUGCGAUGAUGAGGUUGCAGAGCCAAGGAUGGACAGAGCCUGGGGAAGACAUCUUCAAGCAGAGAGUCAACCCUGGAGUCACCUAUCUUUAAGCUUCUGAUAAAUAAACAGUGCUUGUUGCGAUUUAAA